rnacentral:lncRNA from 1 species
GUAUUUAGUUUGACAAUUAGUAUUCUUUAUAUCAUACAAGGUAAAAUUAGUCUCACAAGUAUAAGCGGCAUGUUAGAUAUCUCAAAUAGAUGCAUCUUUCUUACAACAAACUUGGUACUCAUGAAAUCUGAAUAAAAAUGCUCUCUGCAUAUUGACUUUGUUCUUUUCAAAAGACAUCCAAAAAGGUAGCUCAGAAUGACAGAAGGUUGAGCAUAUGUCGUCUGAUGCAUCUUGCAGGUGAUGAUGUGAUUAUCCAUUGUCAAUCAAGACGUGAUAUUUGCACAAUUGUACGGCAUGAUUGUAGAAACAAUAUGAAAAUAGUUGUAUUUUCCCUCUAUAGCUAGCCUAAAUUAUAGAGAAUUGCUGAAAAUCAGCAUUGUAAUAGGAAAUGAUUACCUAUGAAUCUCUAUUUAAAGAGAAGAACGCGUUCAAUGAAAAUCAUCAAUCAAAUUCCAUCUUCCUUGUCAUCCAUAACUAUUAUCUCUAACAAUUUUCGGCAGCUCUAGAAGGCAUUAAUUUGACAAUUAGUAGGGUUUAUGUCAUGCAAGGCAAUGAAAUGGUAAAAUUAGAAUCACAAGUAUAAGCUCCACUGCCAAAAUUCUGCAAGUAAAUAUCUAAAAUAUCCACUAUGUACAAAUUCCAUAUGUAAAACAAAAACCAUAACCGAAAUCUCGUCUUUACUUCUCUUACACCUCUUCUACACUAACCCAACAUCAGGUCGCAUGUCUCAGAUGAUAAACUGAACAAUUCGACAUUCUUGCCCCUUCUUCUCUUAUUUCUUAGACGUCAUCCACAUUGAGUUUUAUUAUUAUUCCUCUCAUUACACUAUCUGCAGGUUUGUUAAGCAUUACGUUAUUACUGAUUACAUUAUUAGAUAUUGCAACUUAUAUUUUUUACCACUUCAGAACUCAAGGAACCUUUCAAAACUCUAUAACAGUGUUGAGCAUUUUCAAAUAUAUAGAGCUUAAGCAGAAGAACAAAGAGCUUUCCAAAACCUGAUUUCAGCAUUUCGAACAAUACCAUUUCAGAAAGAUGAAGCAAGUAAACUUACUUUAAAGCUUUACCGCAGCCAGAGUUUAUCUGUCAAUAUCAUUUACAACAACAAAGGAAGCAUUAUUCCCAGAAAAAUAUUGAAGAUAGAAGCUAAAAAUAAAAUAAACACAAAAAAGAGAGAAACACCAAAGGAGAAAGCAUCUAAAAGAAUUUGCAAGCCACCAGUAGUGUGUAACCAUAAACUAGAAAUGGUUCACUAAAAUCGAGGCAGUUCAAGCUCAGUUUUAUGGCAGCAAGUUGAAACCACAUAACAUUUCUAAACAAAUAAACCCACACACUAAAUUAAAUGUUCAGCAGCCCAAAACAUAAGUACAUACCAAAAGCUUGUUUUAAAAUAAAGGGUAAUUAGCACAAAACAUCCCUACCUUUCAAUGUUUUUGUGGAAAACGUCCUUACCUUUCAUUUUUUGACGGAUUACACCCUUACCUUUCCCUUUUUUUGUGUAAAACGUCCUUCUGUCAACUCUCCGUUAAAAUGCUCCGUUAAAUCAAAAAGGUAAUUAGCACAAAAGGUCCCCUACCUUUCAAAAUUAUUGUGCAAAACGUCCCUACCUUUUAUUUUUUAGCAUAAUUAGCAGAAAAGGUCCCUACCUUUCAAUAUUAUUGUGCAAAACGUCCAUACCUUUCAUUUUUAGCAUUUUUACCCCUACAUUUCACCUUUCAUUGCGCAAAAGGUCCUUUUCAUCCAUUUUUUCAAUAAAAUGACGAUUUUACCCUCCGAUUGAAAUAAAACAAAAAGAAAAGAAAAAAACUAAUUAAUUAAUUGCAAUCAUAGUUCUAAAUCACAUUGAGUUUUAUUAUUAUUCCUCUCAUUACACUAUCUGCAGGUUUGUUAAGCAUUACGUUAUUACUGAUUACAUUAUUAGAUAUUGCAACUUAUAUUUUUUAUCACUUCAGAACUCAAGGAACCUUUCAAAACUCU